UUCCCGAUUUCGAAUUGCCCAACUGCUCCUCGGCUCCCCCUUAAAAAAAAAAAAACUGCUCCUCGGCUCGCCGCCACGCUACUGCCGUAGCUCUUGAUCCCGCACCGACUCCGCCUCCUCUCAUCCGCGUCCUCCUCCCUCACCGCAUCAUGGCGGCGAGGAUGUGGUGAGGGAACGUCGCGUCGCCGUGCUGACCGAGCAGAUCCGCGUAUGGCCGCGUGGGGCGGGGGCGAAUGGGGACGAUCGCGAAGGCAGAGGCGGGAGGGAUGGCGGCGCUUUCCCGUGACUCGGCGGCCGCCAGUGCCGGUGUCGUCCCUACCAGGCGCCGGCUACCCUAAUUCGUUCCGUUCAAGCUUGAAUUAGGUCAUCAAAAGUAGCUGAUAUGGCUGAAGCAAUGGCUUGAAUGCUUGAUGGGUUUUGAUUCAUUGUAAGUUCCAGCCAGAGCAUCUACGAUCUCUGCAUCUUGCUUAGUGUUUGUGCUUUGUUUUAGGUUUCUGUUUUUUUUUUUUUAUUUUCAAACAUACAUUCAUUCUUAUCUCUGGUAUGACAAGGUGCAAAAAUUACCUGGUCAUGUCUGUUUCAACUUUCAAGUAAAAGUUUGAUCACUACGUACUAUGUUAGCUUAUUAUCUGGUGUUAAUGGUCCUGUUUAUGUACGCUAUUCUUAGUGUUAGGGCUGAAACUUGAAAGAAAACAUAGAAGACAUGUGACUCAACUGCAUUGUCAUAUGCAUAAUCUAUUUGUAGCUGUUUAGGUGAUUACAGUUGUUAGAUUGCUGGUUAUGUGACUAACUAGUAUAAACUGAAUAAAAAAAUUGGAAAUCUUAAUUCGUUAACUACUCGACAUGGAAUUUGGAAGUAAGUUAUAGCAUUGUUACAGGAAACAGAGUGUCUUGAAUAUUUAAUAUUCUAAUUACUUGAUGUUUUGGAAUGGCAAAAUAGUCAUUUUGGUCCCUGAACUUUGCACCGAGGGCCAAUUUAGUCCCUCAACUUUCAUUUUUUUGGGUCAAACUCGUCCUUGUGCUGAUGUGAUGCUCUAUAUUAGCAUAAGACUAAUGCAAAAAGUCCCUUUUGCCCUUAGCUCAUGUAGGUCAAACAUAUACGUGCUCAUACUCCCUUAAUACAUACACUAUUUUUUUAACUAACACAAAGUAUGGUUUCUAAAAAGUGUAUCUACUCAUACUCUAAGUCAUUCCUGUGCUCAUACGAAUUUGAUAGACAAAAUGUAUGUACUCAAACAAGUAUUUACUCAUACUAAAAAGUAUAUAUAAAACUUCGUUAGGUCAUGCUGGUGAGUUUUUGUUUAGACACAAGGUCUUGCGCUGCAUCUAAAUGUACGUGUGGCUCACUUGCACCUGCUUCCAGUGGUAGACACUAUGUGUCUUGCCCAGCUGCCAUUGGCCAAAUCUUUUUUGUCCGGCUAAAUUGUGCAGAUAUGCACUGCUCACUAGGAGCCCGGGCAGGCCCCAGGGUUGCCGGCCCUUGGGUCCGCCCCCUAGUACGUUAUACAUGCUUCAUGUAAGUAUUUAUACUCCCCUAGCAAACAUAUAUAUAACCUCAUUUAUUUUGGAUCAUACGUUAUUAUAAUUCUAACGGCGAAAUUGGAGAGAGAAAAGAGCCAAGGGUAAAAAGGACCUUCUGUAUUAGUUUCAUGCCAAUAUGGAGCCCCAUGGACGAGUUUGACCCAAACACGAAAGUUGAGGGACUAAAUUGGCCAAUCCGAAAGUUGAGGGACAAAGUUGACCCUCGGUGCAAAGUUUCAGGGACCAAAAUAGCUAUUUUGCCUUUUGGAAUAUGGUGGAAGUUUUAGCUGUAUUUAGAUGGUGAGUCAUCUUAAUGCAUGUAUAGUGGCAAUGUAAUAACUGUUUUAUAUAGUAAUGGAAGGUUUGUAUGAUGAAUAGGGUGGUGGGAUAGUGAGCUACCUCUGCUGUCGGAUAACAGUGUCUUAUAGAUAUUUUGGUUAGCAUUCAGCAAACUAUUUAACUUCGGUUAACUUCAUUUUUAUGGAUAUUUUAGUUAGCAAUAUGGAAACUGAGUAUAUUUGACUUGGGAAAUGGUUUUCUGAUACUAUGACUUUUGUUAGGAGUAACAGUAGAAAUCAGUGAACAGAGUUAUGUUUUGGAGUCCAAACAUGUGUUCAUAGUUCAAACCUACACUAAUUUGUGAUGGUAGACAGUAUAUGGUCUGGCGAAGCUUGUAUCUAGGGAUUUUCAUCAUUUAUGUUUUACCCUUUAAGCAAUGUAGACAUAUAGUGCUUACUGCUUGUGUAUGUGGCAUGCCUUUUUUCUUUUAAAAAAAACAUUUCUGGUAGUCAUGGGCAUGCAUAUCUUGUACAAUAAACUUGACUGGACAAGUAAUAGGAAGGUUGUAUUUCUUUUUUGGCCAGUUUCCCUAAUACUUAUCUACUGCAUGCAACACAUGGCCUGUGGGGAUGACUGUUGUCUGCAAUUAGUCAAACUUUGCCCACUGCUUUACAUUCGACUAUUCAAGUAGCUGGAUUUGUUAUAUGGAAGUAAUAUAUUCAAUGCCAAUUGUACUUCACCAUCAUUAAGCAACUAGAUCAUGACAGAGAGAGGAGCAUUCUAUUAUACUACAAUUCAUUUUUGAAGAUCCAUCAUAUGGAUAUUAUUUAGUUACCAGAAACAGGUCUUAGCACACAUAUUUCCACUUACAAGCAUUAUGUUUUGAUGCUAUUUUAAUUUUACACUGAUGGAGUGAGUUUGUCAUGAGAAAAAAAAUGUUUUGACGUGCAAUUUGGGAUUUGCGCGAACACCACACAUCAGUUUUUGAAACCAGCAUUUUGGUGCAAUCAAAAUCUUUCAGUGCUAUGCUUCCAUAUGCUUUGCUGUAACUUACUAGCUUCAACCAACUUUCUGUCAUUCUCCAACUAGUUCCAGAAAUGGUUGAUUCAGAAGCUGGCUGUGGAAUGAAAUUAUGUUUUCCAUUCUGAUAUUAGGCAUGUUAGUCAUAGUGAUUAUGUUUAAUUAAUUUGCCCUCAUCCAUGCUAGAUAGCACUAUGUAAUCCGCUCCCCCCUCCAUCUCUAUUUGUAAGUAUCCCUGUACAUAUCACGUUUUAUUAAAAUUUAAUGAGAUGCUGUGGGGAACUCCCCCACAGUUUUACGGUCAAAAAAAUAAAUAAAUUUGCCCUCAUCCAUUAUUUGCA